CGUUCUGCUUGACGGCUCCACCCAACGUGGUCAAAAACGCCAUUACGAAUUUUUCGGCGGCAGAUAUCUGCAAGCAGAUCGUCCCCCAGGACUUGGCCCAGUACUACUACCCCCACAUCACUGAGAAGGGCACCCUGUGCUGCCUCACCAGGUGCUCCCAGGACCUGCCAGAUUUCCUGAACUGCAACUACGGGCAGUGCCAGCUGACGAGCUCUGGGCCCCAGUGCACCUGUGCCAACAAGGAUGUGUUCUGGUACCCAGAUGAUCGCUGCCAAACCCGUGUCAGUAAGGUGGGCGUGGGCAUAGCUGUUCCCCUGGUCGUCCUGUUCAUCGCUGGCAUCAUCCUAGUCACCUUCCUGGCCAGAGCCAGGUGUUGGAGGCUCUUAGCCUGGUUAAGGGGCCAGGUGCACACAAGGUG